rnacentral:tRNA from 1 species
GACCGCGUAGCUCAGUUAGAAGAGCAUUGGGCUAGUAUUCCAAAGGUCGUAGGUUCGAAUCCUGCCGUGGCCA